CGUGACCCGGGCUACCCCAGCGUGACCCGGGCUACCCCCAGCGUGACCCGGGCUACCCCCAGCGUGACCCGGGCUACCCCCAGCGUGACCCGGGCUACCCCCAGCGUGACCAGGUCUACCCCCAACGUGACCAGGUCUACCCCCAGCGUGACUAGGUCUACCCCAGCGUGACUAGGGCUGCCCCCAGCGUGACUAGGACUACCCAGAGUAAACUGCCCCCAGCGUGACUAGGUCUACCCCCAGCGUGACUAGGUCUACCCCCAGCGUGACUAGGUCUACCCCCAGCGUGACUAGGACUACCCAGAGUAAACUGCCCCCAGCGUGACUAGGACUACCCAGAGUAAACUACCCCCAGCGUGACUAGGGCUACCCCCAGCGUGACUAGGGCUGCCCCCGGCGUGACUAGGACUGCCCCCGGCGUGACUAGGACUGCCCCCGGCGUGACUAGGACUGCCCCCGGCGUGACUAGGACUGCCCCCGGCGUGACUAGGACUGCCCCCGGCGUGACUAGGACUGCCCCCGGCGUGACUAGGACUGCCCCCGGCGUGACUAGGACUGCCCCCGGCGUGACUAGGACUGCCCCCGGCGUGACUAGGACUGCCCCCGGCGUGACUAGGGCUACCCCCAGCGUGACUAGGACUGCCCAGAGUAAACUACCCCCAGCGUGACUAGGACUGCCCAGAGUAAACUACCCCCAGCGUGACUAGGGCUGCCCCCAGCGUGACUAGGGCUGCCCCCAGCGUGACUAGGGCUGCCCCCAGCGUGACUAGGGCUACCCAGAGUAAACUACCCCCAGCGUGACUAGGGCUACAUAGACUCUGCCUGAAAGCUGGCAUUGGGAACAACAGUACGCUUCUCCUGAGACUAAUUCUACUUAGCUGUUUGUAGCCGGAGCAUCAAGAGAGCGGGUGUACUACUGCAGCAGUGUUUACUGCAGGCCUGGUACUGGUCCCCCUUUCCAAUCUGCUGCUACAGGAACACACCUAAAGCACUCGCAAGGUCCUUCCUCUUUCUCUGAACAACAUCCCGUUCAUACAGAUGUGAUUGUACUGUGGUGUGUAUAUUUUUUUUCUUUUUAAGUGAACAAUGUUUUGUAGUCUCUGUUAAUGAAGUGCUUAUGCUGAUCAUGUACCAGGUAGCACUUCUGAUAUAUAUUUUUUAAAAUUUUUUUGUUUUUAGUAACGAAGAGACUUAUAUGGACAGCAUCAGUAUUCAUUGAUGGUAUAACACUAAUGAGGUAUGUGAAGAAAUGUGACAACUUAGCUGUGAUUUAAAAGCAAUCCUGUUUGGAAUCAAACCAAAGAUGCGGGGGAGCUUCUAUUGGCUGAAGUGGUUCCCGCUGAAUGUACUCAGACCCCCUUAUUCCACGUUGUGUUAAAGCCUGAAAUAUAAUAUAAUAAUCUAUUUUGAAUGCUGUCGCCCAUCUACACACAAUACAAAAGUGAAAAACAGAAAUAGCUCAUUUUAUAGAAAUAUUCAACCCCCUGAGUCAAUACAUGUUAGAAUCACCUUUGGAAGGGAUUACAGCUGUGAGUGUUUCUGGGUAAGUCUCUAAGAGCUUUGCACAUCUUUUUUUUUUUUACAAAUUCUUUAAGCUCUGUCAAGUUCGUUGUUCAUCAUUGCUAGACAGCCAUGUUCAAGUCUUGCCAUGGAUUUUAAUGCUGAUUUAAGUCCAAACUAACUCAGCCAUUCAGGAACAUUCACUGUCGUCUUGGUAAGCAACUGUAGUGUAUAUUUGGCCUUGUGUUUUAGGUUAUUGUCCUGCUGAAAGGUGAAUGUGUCUCCCAGAAAGUAGACGGAACCAGGUUUUCCUCUAGGAUUUUGUCUGUGUUUAACUAUAUCCUGUUUCUUUUUAUCCUAAAAAAAACUGCCUAGUCGUUGCCAAUGACAAACAUACCCAUAACAUGAUGCAGCCACCACCAUGCUUGAAAAUAUGGUGGUACUUGGUGAUGUUGUUUGCUCCAAACAUAACGCUUUGUUUUCAGGACAAACUUAAUUUCUUUGCCGCAGUUUUGCUUUAGUGCCUUAUUGCAAACAGGAUGCAUGUUUUGGAAUAUUUUUUAAUUCUGUACAGGCUUCCUUUUCACACUGUAAUUUAGGUUAGUAUUGUAGAGUAACAACAAUGUUGUUGAUCCCAUCCUCAGUUUUCUAUCAUAGUGAAAUCCCUGAAUGGUUUCCUUCCUCACCGGUAACUAAGCUAGGAAGGACAUCUGUAUCUUUGCAGUGACUUGUGUAUUGAUACACCAUCCAAAGUGUAAUUAAUAACUUCAACAUGCUCAAAGGGAUAUUCACAAAGUUUUUUUUUUUACCCAUCUACUAGGUUCCCUUCUUUACGAGACAUUGGAAAACCUCCCUGGUCUGUGUGGUUCGACUUGUUUGAAAUUCACUGCUCGACUGAGGGACCUUGCAUGUGUGGGGUAGUCAUUAAAAAAAAUCUAACACGAUUAUUGCACACAGAGUCCAUGCAACUUAUGACUUGUUAAGCAAAUUUGUACUCCUGAACUUAUUUAGGCUUUCCCCUUAACAAAGGGGUUGAAUACUUAUUGACUCGAGACAUUUCCGCUUUUCACGUUUUGUAGAAAAUUUCAAAAACAUAAUUUAAUAUUAUGAGGGUAUUGUGCGUAGACCAGUGACUCAAUCUCAUUCAUUUUCAAUUCAGGCUGUAACACAAACAAAAUGUGUAAAUAGUCAAAGGGGUGUGAAUGCAUUGUAUCCAUCUUUCGUUAUGAAUCUAGGCCUAAUUAGACUUUGUUUGAAGAAAAAUAAGUGAAAUAAAAAAAAUGGAACCUUUUUUGGUUUUCACAAGUUCCCCCAAUAGUGGAAACAAGUAUUUAAGAAUCUCUUUGAAUGUGUGCUCUCCUUUUUUAACUUGCUAUAUGUGUAUGUAUAUAUAUAUAUAUAUGUGUGUUGUUGUCAUUGACAACCGUGCUGUAGCCCUUUGUCAUCGUUUUAUGCAUUGAGUUUGUUUGGGGUAGUCACUGACUUGUGAACGCAUUACACUGUGCAGCAUUGUAGCAAAUGACACUUAAGUCUAACUAUCAGUAGGAAUAUGUAUAAUCAUAUGCUGUUCAGCGAGUUGAACCUGCAGAUCUGUUGUUCUGGAGUACAGGCUAACAAAACAAUGCUCAUAUGAAGUGCUGAUUGACUGUGUUGUCUGUUUUUUUCUUUCUUGAUCUGUUAAGACUGCUGGGACCUUGUUUAGUGUUAAAGCUACAGGUGACAUAGACCCUGUCUGCCUUAGAGGAUAAAGCUACAGUCAUAUGCCUGUUCUUUCUAUUGAAGACCCUACUAGGGUUAUGUGCAAUGACAAUGUUUUGUAAAUGUGUAGUAUUUAACCUUUUUAAAGUUGUAGAAUGACAAGCUUGUAUUUUUCUCAAUAUUUAUAAAUACUACAGUACUACCCUUGAGCAGGUUCAUACAUGCGAUGGUUGUCUGUUGGCACACAGGGAUCGGGGCGUGUAAUGAUAAAGCAUCUCUGAGUAGGACUGCUGGAUCUCGGAUCAAGUCUCGCUGGUCCAUGUAAUAUUCAUUGUAAUCUAAAACUGAUAAUAAGUAAUCCUACUCUGAAACGCUGUAAGAAUACAGGCCCUUGUGUUGGAAGUGUCUAAAAAUCAAUUUUGUCGUAGGUUCUUACUUUCUAUGGUUUUGUACAUUAACUUCCAAGUUGUGGUAAUAAAAUACAUAUUGGAUAACAGAACCAAGUUAAAAUCAAGUUAAAUUGCAUUAGACAACAAAAUUAUGGCAAAAUAAAUAUUAACCGAUGGGUUCCAUGUCAGCCACCAAUUGUGCAAGUUCUCCCACUUAAAGAUGAGAGGCUGUAGUGGAGUUUGGAGCGUGACUGUUUGAGGUUGUGGACAGGUGUCUUUUAUACUGAUAACAAGUUCAAACAGGUGCCAUUAAUACAGGUCUCUUAAAGAAUACAGCCUCUUAAAGAAGUUACAGGUCUGAGAGCCAGAAAUCUUGCUUGUUUGUAGGUGACCAAAUACUUAUUUUCCACCAUAAUUUGCAAAUAAAUUCAUCAAAAAUC